AGGACGAACGCUGGCGGCGUGCUUAACACAUGCAAGUCGAGCGGUAAGGCCUUUCGGGGUACACGAGCGGCGAACGGGUGAGUAACACGUGGGUGAUCUGCCCUGCACUCUGGGAUAAGCCUGGGAAACUGGGUCUAAUACCGGAUAUGACCUGCUCUCGCAUGGGGGGUGGGUAGGAAAAGAUUUAUCGGUGCAGGAUGGGCCCGCGGCCUAUCAGCUUGUUGGUGGGGUAAUGGCCUACCAAGGCGACGACGGUAGCCGACCUGAGAGGGUGACCGGCCACACUGGGACUGAGACACGGCCCAGACUCCUACGGAGGCAGCAGUGGGAAUAUGCACAAUGGGCGAAAAGUCCAGAUGCAGCGACGCCGCGUGAGGAUGAAGGCCUGGUUGUAACCGUUACUUCGUAGACGA
rnacentral:rRNA from 1 species